UACGUAGGGACCGAGCGUUGUCCGGAAUCAUUGGGCGUAAAGAGCGUGUAGGCGGCUAUUUAAGUCCUGCGUGAAAUCCUGCGGCUCAACCGCAGAACGGUCGUGGGAAACUGGAUGGCUAGAGUGCGGGAGAGGAGAGUGGAAUUCCCGGUGUAGCGGUGAAAUGCGCAGAUAUCAGGAAGAACACCAAUGGCGAAGGCAGCUCUCUGGGACGGUACUGACGCUGAGACGCGAAAGCGUGGGAGCGAACAGG
rnacentral:rRNA from 1 species